rnacentral:tRNA from 2 species
GCCGGCGUGGUGAAAUUGGUAGACGCGCUAGACUCAAAAUCUUGUGUCCGCGAGGACGUGUCGGUUCGAGUCCGACCGCCGGUA